rnacentral:misc_RNA from 1 species
UGACUAAGACAAUGCCUAAGC